rnacentral:misc_RNA from 1 species
AUGUGCCUUGGUCAGGCUUGGUCCAUCUAGGCUUCCUUUAUGAGGUUUAGUGGAUUUGAAAGUAGUGCUAGUGUUUCGCUUGAGUUGUGUGUUGUACAGCUCACGUGGUCAUUGGUAUCUACUGUUCUCCUGGAUAUGGUGCAUGCAGCUAACGUGGGCUCUUGAUUGUGCCCCGUCGAGUCCCUCGGAAUUAUCGUUUGCCAUGGAUGACGCUUGCCGUGGUGCCUGGGUUGCUUUUUCGCUUGCGGUGGCAACUCUUGCACGUCGGGCAUAGUUGUUGGUGGAUGCUACCUGGUUGAUCCUGCCAGUAGUCAU